CCCUUAGAUGUUCUGGGCCGCACGCGUGCUACACUGAUGCAUUCAACGAGCUUAUAACCUUGGCCGAGAGGCCUGGGCAAUCUUGUUAACGUGCAUCGUGAUAGGGAUAGAUUAUUGAAAUUAUUAAUCUUGAACGAGGAAUUCCUAGUAAACGCAGAUCAUCAAUCUGCAUUGAUUACGUCCCUGCCCUUUGUACACACCGCCCGUCGCACCUACCGAUUGGAUGGUCCGGUGAAGCCUCGGGAUUGUGGUUCUUGCCGCUUUAUUGUGGCGUGACCGCGAGAACUUGUCUAAACCUUAUCAUCUAGAGGAAGGUGAAGUCGUAACA
rnacentral:rRNA from 1 species